UUCGAGAAGAGCUGGAGUAAGUUGACUUGUAAAAAAAAUUCAAAAAAAAAACCGUAUAUUAAAAAAAAGUUGUAUUUAAAUUACAUGUAAACCAGCAUAUUGUAUUGAAGUUUGUUAUAAAAAAAUUCAAAAAAAAUUUGAAAGUGGUUAAUUCAUUCCAUUUUGGUUAUUCCCGAUCAUCGACUCUUAAUUCCCAACACCAUCCACCUUCACGCCACACUUGAUAACCCAAUAUCGUUCUUUCAG
rnacentral:lncRNA from 1 species